GAUGAACGCUAGCUACAGGCUUAACACAUGCAAGUCGAGGGGCAGCAUGGACAUAACUUGCUAUGUCUGAUGGCGACCGGCGCACGGGUGCGUAACACGUAUCCAAUCUGCCCGUUACUCGGGGAUAGCCUUCUGAAAGGAAGAUUAAUACCCGAUGGCAUGUAUUUCCGGCAUCGGAGAUACAUUAAAGAUUAAUCGGUAACGGAUGAGGAUGCGUACGAUUAGCUUGUUGGCGGGGUAACGGCUCACCAAGGCAACGAUCGUUAGGGGUUCUGAGAGGAAGGUCCCCCACACUGGAACUGAGACACGGUCCAGACUCCUACGGGAGGCAGCAGUGAGGAAUAUUGGUCAAUGGUCGGAAGACUGAACCAGCCAAGUAGCGUGAAGGAUGACUGCCCUACGGGUUGUAAACUUCUUUUGUUUGGGAAUAAAAGACGCUACGUGUAGCGUUUUGCAUGUACCUUACGAAUAAGCAUCGGCUAAUUCCGUGCCAGCAGCCGCAGUAACAC
rnacentral:rRNA from 1 species